rnacentral:rRNA from 1 species
AACGUGCCCUUCCCUACGGAAUAGCCUCUGGAAACGGAGAGUAAUACCGUAUACGCCCUUUGGGGGAAAGAUUUAUCGGAGAAGGAUCGGCCCGCGUUAGAUUAGGUAGUUGGUGGGGUAACGGCCUACCAAGCCUACGAUCUAUAGCUGGUUUUAGAGGAUGAUCAGCAACACUGGGACUGAGACACGGCCCAGACUCCUACGGGAGGCAGCAGUGGGGAAUCUUAGACAAUGGGGGCAACCCUGAUCUAGCCAUGCCGCGUGAGUGAUGAAGGCCUUAGGGUCGUAAAGCUCUUUCGCCUGUGAUGAUAAUGACAGUAGCAGGUAAAGAAACCCCGGCUAACUCCGUGCCAGCAGCCGCGGUAAUACGGAGGGGGUUAGCGU